rnacentral:rRNA from 1 species
UGGUGGGUAGUUUGACUGGGGCGGUCUCCUCCUAAAGAGUAACGGAGGAGCACGAAGGUUGGCUAAUCCUGGUCGGACAUCAGGAGGUUAGUGCAAUGGCAUAAGCCAGCUUGACUGCGAGCGUGACGGCGCGAGCAGGUGCGAAAGCAGGUCAUAGUGAUCCGGUGGUUCUGAAUGGAAGGGCCAUCGCUCAACGGAUAAAAGGUACUCCGGGGAUAACAGGCUGAUACCGCCCAAGAGUUCAUAUCGACGGCGGUGUUUGGCACCUCGAUGUCGGCUCAUCACAUCCUGGGGCUGAAGUAGGUCCCAAGGGUAUGGCUGUUCGCCAUUUAAAGUGGUACGCGAGCUGGGUUUAGAACGUCGUGAGACAGUUCGGUCCCUAUCUGCCGUGGGCGCUGGAGAACUGAGGGGGGCUGCUCCUAGUACGAGAGGACCGGAGUGGACGCAUCACUGGUGUUCGGGUUGUCAUGCCAAUGGCACUGCCCGGUAGCUAAAUGCGGAAGAGAUAAGUGCUGAAAGCAUCUAAGCACGAAACUUGCCCCGAGAUGAGUUCUCCCUGACUCCUUGAGAGUCCUGAAGGAACGUUGAAGACGACGACGUUGAUAGGCCGGGUGUGUAAGCG